rnacentral:rRNA from 1 species
CAAACCAUGUCGUCCUCCUCCGGUGCCUCCCAGGCUGGUCCCAACGGCCAAGUCACGGAGAGGCUCUCCCGCACCAACUACGUCCUCUGCCGCGCGCAGAUCACGCCGCAGCCGAGGGGCGCGGGUGUCUUCAGCUACGUCGACGGCACUACACCGGAGGCGGCCAGGAUCCUCCCCACCAAGGAUAAAGAUGGGAAGAAAUCGACUGAGCCGAACCCUCUCUACCCCAUCUGGGUGCGAGAGGACCAACAGGUGCUCGGGUACUUGUUGAACAACCUCACCAAGGAGGUGCUCGUGCAGGUGACUGCGAUCACCAUGGCACGCGAGCUCUGGACGACGUUGUCGGGGAUGUUCUCCUCGCAGUCGCUUAGUCGCGUCAACAACAUCAGAACCUCCAUGGUGAAUGCCCAGAAGGGCAACAAGACCGUCGCCACCUACUUCGCUGAGAUGCGCGGCUUCGCCGAUGAGCUGGCCGCCGCCAGGAAGCCUCUCCAGGACGAUGAACUCAUCUCCUACAUCCUGCAAGGCCUCGACAUGGACUACCAGCCACUCGUCUCCGCCCUCGACGCCUGCAUCACCCCGGUAUCCCUCGAUGAGCUUUUUGCAAUGCUUAGUAACUUUGAUCAGAGGGUGGCGCAGUACCAGGGAUCGGGCGGCUUCAAGUCGUUGGCUAACGCCGCGACGCGUGGGGGCGGCGUCUACUCACGUCAUCGUGGCCAUCCCCGCUCCAAGGGCAAGCAGGGGAGUGACGGCAGCAACGGCAGG